CAAGAAUAUGGGCAUAUCUAUCAUCACUGCCACUGGGGGUCUGGGCAGAGGCCAUUAUUCCAAGACAGCCCUGAUCCCCACAGAGCUCAGGGGGUCUCAUGGAGAUUAUUAAAGCCCAUACAGGGUGACAUUUUCCCCAUAUGCUCUUCCCCAGAAGCUCCCUACUCAGGGAAAGUGAAGUCUUGGGAGCAGUUGCCUAUACCACAUCCACUCAGAAAGAUGGGCCCAAGGACUGGAGACUGUGAUUUCUGACAGAGGCAGCCCUUCCUCCUGCUCCUACCCUGAGGCCAGCAAAAUUGUUUCUACUCCUUCCAUCUCGCUUACUGUCUCUUGUACCCUGCUCCACUUAUCAACUCAUUUUGAGCUGGCUCUUGAUAACUAUGACUUAUCUCUUGAUUAUAGGGCUCUAUGGAUGAUGGACAAUGGGGAAUGGCCACCCUCUGGCAUUUAUUUGCUUCCUCUCAAACCGUGACUUCUUUUGAGGGAAUUGUGAGGGAGCAGAUAGGCCUCCAAGGCCAUCUCAUCUCACAGUCUGCUUCCUAGCAGAAUGGGCCACCCCUCAGUCCAGGCCAACUCAUUCUUUUAACCUUAUUAAUGGUGCCUUGGGUUAUACAGAGGCUUUUUAUUUUGGUGUAAUCAAAUGUAUUACUCCUUUACUUUAUGGCUUUGUAUUUUAUGGUUCUUAAAGAAGGCUUCCCUAUCUCCAGAUAAUAAACAUACUCUCCUAUAUUUUCUUUAUACUCAUUUUAUAGUUGUGUUUCUAUGUUAGUCCCAUCUGGAAUUUAUUUUCAUAAAUGGUGUGAGUUAGGGAUUUUUUUUUUUUUUUUUUCUGAGAGUCGCAUGCUGCCCAGAUUCUAUAGGCCAUCUUUUUCCCCAGUGUCUUGAAGUACUACUCUUCUUGUAAUCAAAACUCCUAUACAUACAUGAGGCUAUUUCUGGAUUCUCCGUUGCAUUGAACUUUUUUAUAUUCUUCUACCAACCAUGCUAUUUUAAUUUAUGUAGCUUUUAGGUAUGGUUUGAUACCGUAUGUUUUUCUCCUUUGUUUUUUUCCUCCCAAAAUCAUUUUGCUGUUCUCACAUGUUUUUUCCUUCCAGAUGUACUUUCCAAUCAGCUUGUUAAGUUUCAUUUAACAAGUCCUAUUAGGACUGCAGUUGAGAUUUUAUUGAUUACAUAGGAAAGUUGGGGAAGAGUUGAUAAUCUUCACAAUAUCGAGUCUUCUCAUCCAGAAACAGAAUGUCUCGGCUAUGUUCUUAAAGGCCCCCAGGGAAGAUAUCUUCUCUUUUCCUGACUCCUACAGUCCCUCAGUUUCCCUUGGCUGGUUCCCUGAGCCACCAGACCCUUGUAUUGUAAUGUCCUAUGAUCCUAGCUUACUCAUUCUCUCCUCCCAUUUAGAAAUGGAUUAAACAGCUGAGCAUUUGCUUUUGCUCAGGAAUUCUGAGCUUUAUCUUUCUAAGACCUAAAAGAACUCCUGGGGGAUUGUCCCAUCUCUUUUCUCCCCUGCCUUCACAUCCCAUUCUCAGGAUCUCCCUUCUCUUAUUCCCCCAGGAAUUCUAAUAUUUCUAUUCUAGAAUCAUACAGCCUAAUGUUUCCCUUUAUCUAGACUCCCCUGAUAACCUGGUUGACCUAAAACAAAACUCCUCAUGCUGACCUUCUCUCUCCCUCACAUUGUUUUAUGUAAUUUCUAAGCUUUGUCCAGACACAGUGAUAUCCUGGGAGAAGAGUCGAGAGGGGGGAAGAGGAAUGGCAGUGUUGGUGAUCUGCCAUCUCCCAAUCCUAAAGGCAAGCGCUUAUCACCCCAGAUUUGCCAACAGGCUGAACUCCACAGAGCAUCUAGGAAGUCCUAGCCAUUUUUGUUCCCUGAUUUCUGUCAUGUGUACCAGCCUCAAGAGGCAGGCUUCUAGGUUAGGCUGACUGCCAAAAGCCUAGGGGUGAAGCAAGAAGGCCCUAGCCUCUUCACUCAAAUCCCUUUCAGGGACAGCAGUAUCCGUUGUGUUAUUGCCAGUGUGAAAGCCAAAAGGGUCAGAACUAAAGUUGUGUGGCUGUCAGACCAGGUGUCGCAGAAGCCAGAAAGUAGGAAACAGGAGCCCAACACAGGGUUGAAGUUCUCCCAAAGGGCUGAAUGUGCUUUAAGGCCAGGUACAAUAGCAAAGGAAAGACACAGGAAGUUUGCCCAAAACCUUUUGCAUAUACACCUCCGUACCCAUAAAGGCCAUAGAGUCCCUACACCCAGACACACUUUGCUCAGCCAUGUUCCUCUCUCACUUCUGCAUCUACUUGACUUUCUAUGCAUCACCUCCUCCUGCUUCCAGGCUCCUCUGAGGCCAGGUCAGCACACUUUACCAUUAAAAUAUUCCGCCUAGCCUUGACUCUUCUUCAUCUGCUACUUAUCCAGGGGAUAAGAUACCAGGGUAAAGACUGUGGAAUUUGAUACAAUGAUUGAAAAGUUAUUCUAACAUAAGACUAUCACAGAAAAUAAUUUCUAGACAUUUGUGUUUCAAAAGACAAAAUGAGCCACUCCCCAGCAGAGCGACCAACUUCCAGAGACAGAAAAUCUGCCACAGUGGCUGAAAAGUUCUAGUAACACAAACAGAGCUACAGCAUCUGAUUCCUCAAGAUCUCUCUUCUACACACAAUGUGCUGCAAAGAAUUUUCCCCAGUCCCCACCCCACCCACCAAGUUGCUUAAGACCUAGCCAGCCACCCAGUUUUACAUGUCUAAAUCUGAAAUCAAAGUCCCAGGCAGGGAGAGGGAUUGUCACAAGUAAUUGCAACAUCCCACAAGAAUUUGUUUGGGAGUUAAAGGGAGCCAAACCUGGGCCUUCUCCAAAGCUUGCAAGUCUGAGCUUUUUGAGAACCACAUUUGAUCUGUUCCAAUGUGUUGAAUGUAAAUGUUUGUCUUGUGCCUGCUUGCUAGCUCUUGGGAACUCUGCAGGACUUCUGCUGGUCCACAGUGGUGACAGGUGCAUCUUUCCAUAGGAGAGGACAUAGUGGGGAACGGCCUACCGUGAGCUACAGGCCCCCAGAAUUGGCCCUUACCCUAAGCCAUGCUCCAAACAUUAGCCCAGGGGAGGGGGAGGGAUGGGGACUCUGAGAGGCAUGGGAUCCAGGUGGCUGCAGGGAGGGACAUGGAUGGGAGGGGAAGGGACACAGGCAUCCUGAUGUACCCUGUGUCCUUUCUCAGCAACUCACAUUCUCACUCUCCCCUUGCCUUCACCCUUACCUUACUUAUCUCAUUUUAUUUUUACAUGUUACCUUCAUAGACAUUAUUUUAAGGUAGUGUUCUCUCUUUUUACAUAUAGAAAAAGGCUACUUUCAAAGUGACAGCUUAGGGCUUAAUCACAGUAGCUACUCCAGGUAUGUCUCAAGACAGCCCAGCAUUACUGGGAGGUAUAGUUGGUUGUUAUGAACCACAUACAAUCUUCAUCAUCAUCGUAAUCAUAGAAUAGCCACCACUGACUGAGCCCUUACUUUGUGCAAAGCAGUGGGCAGCAGUUUACAUAUUUUGUGACUCUUCUCUGCCCUCUUGUGAGGCUGACAUUGCAAUUUCUUUGUUUUACCAAGAAGGGACAAGGCCUGAUCAGGUUAAGUGGCCUGCCCCAGGUCUCCCCGUUGGUCAGAGAGACAGCCUCACCUUCAGAAGACCUGGGACAUUGCCAUAGCUCAUUUUCUUCAGGGAGGACCAGAAGGGAGGCAGAGCACGAGGAGGCAUCUGCCAGCCCCAGCAGUUCAAAACUGCCAGGCAUGGCUGGAAGGGACGUUCACACCAUGUCUUUUCCGUGGGCCUCAGGCCUCCCCCAGCUGACUCAGGACCAUCAGGACAUGAUGCCUCAGGGAUGGGGAUGGUGUGAGGGGAGAGAGGGAAGGCCAAGCAGUUCUGUCUUGGUUCCUUAGAGAACCCUUAUGUCAUCAUGGGCCCGUGGUACCCAAGGGGCAUCCAAACCCUGAUUCCCUCCUCUCAGUUCUUCAGGGCUUCAGGAGCAAGGCUUUCUCUGAGAUGCAAGGUUAUUCCUCAUUGAUACUACUCUGGCCCUAGCUUCGGAGAACUUGAAGAGAGCCAGAGCAGGCCAAGGUAGAUUUUCUACUUGGAGGUCAACAGUCUUACCCCUGAGAGCCCAAUAUCCAUUCAGCACAGCCUAAUGUCUCUCUAUUCCCUCUGCUGAUUUACAUGCCAGGUUUAUUUAAUUAGCCAGAGGUGAGUCAAAGUGCAGCUUGUCCUCAGAGUUAAUUAAUAUUAACUGAGCCACCACACAGUGAGUGACGCCAAGACUGAACUGUGUCCUCUGUAUCAGCUUGGGGAACAAACUUCAACCCCUUGCUCCCGGCUGGGGUUGGGAACCGAAGCCAGCCAAGGAGUCAGGCUGAUGGGCCUCUGAGCUAUUGUGAGGAGUGAAUGAGGUCAUGCAUCUGACAUGCGUGAACACAGUGGUCAUGUUUACCACCGUGUCUGACACGUAGCCGGGACUUAGAAAUUGAUAGCUGUGUUUAUAAAUUUUGAAAAGGAAUGGCAGAGAAAGGUCCCUGGGAGACCAUGUUUCCCUUUGGGGCCUUUUCCAAGGGAGAGAGGAGUGAUGGUAGCAGAGGCCAUGGGACACAGACCCUCAGGCUCCUGCACAUGAGCAUCAUACUUGAGUAAGUGAGGCAUGCUUCUCUCUAUGUUAACCUAGGCCCCUUGUAGAAGAGGGAGAAGGUGGUAGUGGCUGACUCCAGAGGAAUUCAAGCAAAGCACAAGUAAAUGUAGUCUUUCCUUUAGCUGUAAUUUAACUGCAAAGAAAAGGAAACCUGGCCUGGGCAAAGGAGUAUGGGCCUAUAGGGUCCCCUGCUAGGCCAGGACCCUCUUCUCCUCCUUCCCUCACCCCUGUUCCUGUGCACACCAGAACCCCACCUCAGACUUAUCCCAGAAGAGUUUUGGCCCUGUCCUUCUUCCACAUGGUGCUUCCUUGAGCCCCGAGGCAGUGCUAGCGCUGUCCUGUGAAGUGCCCAAAGCCGUCACUUUGUGGAGAAAUUUGGUGACAGUGCUUUCCCUCUAUCCUCUCCCUCCUCCAGGGCCACCAUGCCUGAUAAGCACCUCACAGCUUGUCCUGCUGGUGUGGUUGCAGGGGAGUCCCAUUGCUCAAAGCCCUCUUUGUGGUUGCUGGCUCUAAACAGUCAGCCCCUAACUUUCUCAACUCAUCAUCUCAGCAGCCCCAGUCCUCCCUAUGGAAGUGCCCACAUAGCCAGUGCUUGAGUGGGCUUUUCAGUCUGUCUUCCAGGCUUGACCCUAUCAAAGGUUGCCUCAGAGUCAGGUUGGGAGGUUACCAUAAAGCAGCCCAGCCUCAGAAAUGGACAAGCCUUUCUGGAAGCCAAGACCAAGUGGAGAGACAUGCCACUGAGACAGGACCCAAUGGUCUGUCACCAGCUGCCAGAAAGAUGGCUCUCCUACAUCAAACACUAGGGCAAGAUAAACAGCAUCCCUAAGACCUUCCCUGGACAGAUUUGGGCUGGAGGGCACAAUGAGGCCUGACAGUUUCAUUCUGGGUUUGCCAUGGGUUCUAUACAAAGCCAGAAGCUGGGUGGGAAGGGAAUCUCCCCAAUUACCUGAGACGACUUUGGUAGGCAAAGUAAAAUGGGAAAUGGGGCAGAAAUAGACAGCCAGACUGUCAGCUAAAGCCAGCUCUGGUGAGCCUGAAGUUCGGAGACCCCUGCGCCCCCUGCUGGUCCCUCAGACAGGCUGCUGCCUUUUGGGCUUCCUUCUCCUCAGGGGGCUUUCUGGUCCUUUCUAUUUGCCUCUGUAUCUGGAAUGACUGCUUCACCUCUCCCCAUCUCCCCUCACUCGUUUUAAUCUUUUCAGUUUCGGACAUAGCCUGGAGCUGCUCCCUCUACCCUGCCAUGACCCG
rnacentral:lncRNA from 10 species